rnacentral:rRNA from 1 species
AUUGAACGCUGGCGGCAGGCUUAACACAUGCAAGUCGAGCGAGCGGCGGACGGGUGAGUAAUGUCUGGGAAACUGCCUGAUGGAGGGGGAUAACUACUGGAAACGGUAGCUAAUACCGCAUACCAUCAGAUGUGCCCAGAUGGGAUUAGCGAGUAGGUGGGGUAACGGCGCACCUAGGCCACGAUCCCUAGCUGGUCUGAGAGGAUGACCAGCCACACUGGAACUGAGACACGGUCCAGAGUCCUACGGGAUGCAGCAGUGGGGAAUAUUGCACAAUGGGCGCAAGCCUGACGCAGCAAUGCCGCGUGUGUGAAGAAGGCCUUCGGGUUGUAAAGCACUUUCAGCGGGGAGGCGUUACCUGCACAAGAAGCACCGGCUAACUCCGUGCCAGCAGCCGCGGUAAUAC